UCAGUGUGUUGAGAGCAGAGAAAUCAUUUCCAUAGAGAGGAGGCUUUGCAUCAUCAGCUGAUCCUCCAGAGAACUGAGAAGGUUUAUAGUCCUGUGAGUUCAACACUGCAGGACUCACAUCUGUCAGUCAACACAGCAGAAAGCACAACCACCAUGACUCUCAUCACCAUCCUCAUCUGGACGCUGACCUGCUGCUGUUUUACAGGAUGCAGCGGUCAGGUGACUGUGACUCAACCUCCAGUAGUGACAUCGACUCCUGGAUCCACUGUGACAGUGGCUUGUAGGACCAGCCAAGCUGUUAAGAGAUGGGAUGAUGGUGACGCCAUGUCCUGGUAUCAACAUAAAUCUGGACAGGCUCCAAAGCUCCUAAUAAAAUAUGCAAAAACACUUCAGUCAGGAACACCAUCUCGAUUUAGUGGCAGUGGAAGCAGCUCUGACUUCUCUAUGACCAUCAGUGGAGUUCAGGCUGAGGAUGCAGCAGUUUACUACUGUCAGAGUCAACAUUACAUAAACAGUGCUUGGGUGUUCACACAGUGAUUUGCAGUCGUACAAAAACCUCCCUCAGUCAGACUGCAGAGACACUGAGCUGUUACAGCAGGAACUGA